UUGACCUCAAAUCAGGUAGGACUACCCGCUGAACUUAAGCAUAUCAAUAAGCGGAGGAAAAGAAACUAACAAGGAUUCCCCUAGUAACUGCGAGUGAAGCGGGAAAAGCUCAAAUUUAAAAUCUGGCGGUCUUGCGGCCGUCCGAGUUGUAAUCUGGAGAAGCGUUUAUCCGCGUCGGACCGUGUACAAGUCUUCUGGAAGGGAGCGUCGUAGAGGGUGAGAAUCCCGUCUUUGACACGGACAACCGGUGCUUUUGUGAUGCGCUCUCGAAGAGUCGAGUUGUUUGGGAAUGCAGCUCAAAAUGGGUGGUAAAUUC
rnacentral:rRNA from 1 species